rnacentral:rRNA from 1 species
CGAUAUAAGUGAUGGCGACCGGCGCACGGGUGAGUAACACGUAUCCAACCUGCCGAUAACUCGGGGAUAGCCUUUCGAAAGAAAGAUUAAUACCCGAUGGUAUAAUAAAACCGCAUGGUUUAAUUAUUAAAGAAUUUCGGUUAUCGAUGGGGAUGCGUUCCAUUAGGCAGUUGGUGAGGUAACGGCUCACCAAACCUUCGAUGGAUAGGGGUUCUGAGAGGAAGGUCCCCCACAUUGGAACUGAGACACGGUCCAA